rnacentral:rRNA from 1 species
UUCGUGAAAACUCCGGUGCUCUGGGAUGAGUCUGCAUCUGAUUAGCUAGUUGGGGGUGUAAUGGACCACCAAGGCGACGAUCAGUAGCUGGUUUGAGAGGAUGGUCAGCCACAAUGGGACUGAGACACGGCCCAUACUCCUACGGGAGGCAGCAGUAGGGAAUUUUGCGCAAUGGGGGAAACCCUGACGCAGCAACGCCGCGUGAUUGAAUAAGCCCUUCGGGGUGUAAAGAUCUGUCAGUGGGGACGAAACUUGACGGUACCCACAGAGGAAGCAUCGGCUAACUCCGUGCCAGCAGCCGCGGUAAUACGGGGGAUGCGAGCGUUGUCCGGAAUCAUUGGGCGUAAAGAGUUCGUAGGUGGUUUGUUAAGUUAGGUGUUAAAGGCUGAGGCUCAACUUCAGUAUGGCACUUGAUACUGGCAGACUUGAAUGCGGUAGAGGUAAAGGGAAUUCCUGGUGUAGCGGUGAAAUGCGUAGAUAUCAGGAGGAACAUCGGUGGCGUAAGCGCUUUACUGGGCUGUAAUUGACACUGAGGAACGAAAGCCGGGGUAGCAAAUGGGAUUAGAUACCCCAGUAGUCCCGGCCGUAAACGAUGGAUACUAGGUGUUGCGGGUAUCGACCCCUGCAGUGCCGAAGCCAACGCGUUAAGUAUCCCGCCUGGGGAGUACGCACGCAAGUGUGAAACUCAAAGGAAUUGACGGGGACCCGCACAAGCGGUGGAACAUGUGGUUUAAUUCGAAGCAACGCGAAGAACCUUACCAGGGCUUGACAUCUAACUAACCCGAAUGAAAGUUUGGGGUGCUCUUCGGAGAGUGUUAAGACAGGUGGUGCACGGUUGUCGUCAGCUCGUGUCGUGAGAUGUUGGGUUAAGUCCCGCAACGAGCGCAACCCUCGUCGUUAGUUGGUAUACUUGGUAUACUGAGUAUAACCUCUCUAGCGAGACUGCCGGUGAUAAACCGGAGGAAGGUGAGGACGACGUCAAAUCAUCAUGCCCCUUAUGCUCUGGGCUACACACGUGUUACAAUGGCCGGUACAACGAGCCGCCAACUCGCGAGAGUGAGCAAAUCUCUAA